rnacentral:rRNA from 1 species
AGAGUUUGAUCCUGGCUCAGAUUGAACGCUGGCGGCAUGCUUUACACAUGCAAGUCGGACGGCAGCACAGGGAAGCUUGCUUCUCGGGUGGCGAGUGGCGAACGGGUGAGUAACAUAUCGGAACGUACCGGGUAGCGGGGGAUAACUGAUCGAAAGAUCAGCUAAUACCGCAUACGUCUUGAGAGGGAAAGCAGGGGACCUUCGGGCCUUGCGCUAUCCGAGCGGCCGAUAUCUGAUUAGCUGGUUGGCGGGGUAAAGGCCCACCAAGGCGACGAUCAGUAGCGGGUCUGAGAGGAUGAUCCGCCACACUGGGACUGAGACACGGCCCAGACUCCUACGGGAGGCAGCAGUGGGGAAUUUUGGACAAUGGGCGCAAGCCUGAUCCAGCCAUGCCGCGUGUCUGAAGAAGGCCUUCGGGUUGUAAAGGACUUUUGUCAGGGAAGAAAAGGCCGUUGCCAAUAUCGGCGGCCGAUGACGGUACCUGAAGAAUAAGCACCGGCUAACUACGUGCCAGCAGCCGCGGUAAUACGUAGGGUGCGAGCGUUAAUCGGAAUUACUGGGCGUAAAGCGGGCGCAGACGGUUACUUAAGCAGGAUGUGAAAUCCCCGGGCUCAACCCGGGAACUGCGUUCUGAACUGGGUGGCUCGAGUGUGUCAGAGGGAGGUGGAAUUCCACGUGUAGCAGUGAAAUGCGUAGAGAUGUGGAGGAAUACCGAUGGCGAAGGCAGCCUCCUGGGAUAACACUGACGUUCAUGUCCGAAAGCGUGGGUAGCAAACAGGAUUAGAUACCCUGGUAGUCCACGCCCUAAACGAUGUCAAUUAGCUGUUGGGCAACUUGAUUGCUUGGUAGCGUAGCUAACGCGUGAAAUUGACCGCCUGGGGAGUACGGUCGCAAGAUUAAAACUCAAAGGAAUUGACGGGGACCCGCACAAGCGGUGGAUGAUGUGGAUUAAUUCGAUGCAACGCGAAGAACCUUACCUGGUUUUGACAUGUGCGGAAUCCUCCGGAGACGGAGGAGUGCCUUCGGGAGCCGUAACACAGGUGCUGCAUGGCUGUCGUCAGCUCGUGUCGUGAGAUGUUGGGUUAAGUCCCGCAACGAGCGCAACCCUUGUCAUUAGUUGCCAUCAUUCGGUUGGGCACUCUAAUGAGACUGCCGGUGACAAGCCGGAGGAAGGUGGGGAUGACGUCAAGUCCUCAUGGCCCUUAUGACCAGGGCUUCACACGUCAUACAAUGGUCGGUACAGAGGGUAGCCAAGCCGCGAGGCGGAGCCAAUCUCACAAAACCGAUCGUAGUCCGGAUUGCACUCUGCAACUCGAGUGCAUGAAGUCGGAAUCGCUAGUAAUCGCAGGUCAGCAUACUGCGGUGAAUACGUUCCCGGGUCUUGUACACACCGCCCGUCACACCAUGGGAGUGGGGGAUACCAGAAGUAGGUAGGGUAACCGCAAGGAGCCCGCUUACCACGGUAUGCUUCAUGACUGGGGUGAAGUCGUAACAAGGUAGCCGUAGGGGAACCUGCGGCUGGAUCACCU